GCGUGGGCGAUGAAGGCCUUCGGGUCGUAAAGCCCUUUUGAGGGGGACGAUGAUGACGGUACCCCUCGAAUAAGCCACGGCUAACUACGUGCCAGCAGCCGCGGUAAUACGUAGGUGGCAAGCGUUGUCCGGUAUUUACUGGGCGGUAAAGGGCGUGCAGGCGGUUUGUUUAGUCUAGGGUGAAAGCUCCCGGCUUAACGUGGGAGAGGUCCUUGGAUACUGGCAAACUUGAGGGAGGCAGAGGAAAGUGGAAUUCCCGGUGUAGUGGUGAUAUGCGUAGAUAUCGGGAGGAACACCAGUGGCGAAGGCGGCUUUCUGGGCCUUACCUGACGCUGAGACGCGAAAGCGUGGGGAGCGAACCGGAUUAGAUACCCGGGUAGUCCACGCCGUAAACUAUGGACACUAGGUGUGGGGGGUAUCGACCCCCUCCGUGCCGCAGCUAACGCAAUAAGUGUCCCGCCUGGGGAGUACGGCCGCAAGGCUA
rnacentral:rRNA from 1 species